UUCAUCCUAUUUCUAUUUUUCCCCUAGAACAUAUUUGUUAUCUAUCAAUUUAGUCCCUUAUUCUCUUUUAAUCCUAACCUUUGAUCUAGAAAUGUUGUCUCUCUUAGACUGCCAUGUGGCAGCUCUCAGAUCUCUCCCUUCUUCCCUCUCUUCCCGAAACACAUCUCAGAACCUCUCUUUUUGUGUUUCUCUCUCUCUCUCUAACUCUCAAAAACUCUCACACUCUCUAAGCUCCGAGAGCUUCUCUCUAACUUUCACCUCACUUCCUUCACAAAUCAAACCCCAAAAACCAUAUAUUUGGAAUCCUUGAGACCUAACGAACUCAAUGGUACCCUUGCAUGCGCCAUCUGAGCACCGUGGGUUUUUCUGCCAUUGAAGCCGAGAGCUUCAAAGCUCUAAAACUCGAACCCAGCUCCGACGAGUUCGAGGUCCAUUUCUUCCCAAAACCUGCUGCAGUGCGUCUAGGUGAAGUUGCUAGUGGAGACUUCCUUAAUCGUUUUCCACACAAUUCUGCUGCUUCGGAGUAUCUGAUUUAGGAUCAAGGCACAUGAUCCCGGCGUCAAGGCACUUCCGCAGCAGCAUCUUCGAGUCCUCUCGGGGUAGGACCUACUCCUUGUUCAUUCAAUCUUAUCUUAAUUCUUGUUAGUGACUAUGUUUAGUUGUAUGCUCUGAACACGUUCCUAAAUUGUUAAUUCAUUGUUUUUAAA